rnacentral:rRNA from 1 species
GAUGAACGCUAGCGGCAGGCUUAAUACAUGCAAGUCGAGGGGCAGCAGGGUGUAGCAAUACAUCGCUGGCGACCGGCAAACGGGUGCGGAACACGUACGCAACCUUCCUUCAAGUGAGGAAUAGCCCAGGGAAACUUGGAUUAAUACCUCGUAACAUUGUGAAGUGGCAUCACUUUAUAAUUAUAGCUCAGGCGCUUGAAGAUGGGCGUGCGACUGAUUAGGUAGUUGGCGGAGUAACAGGCCCACCAAGCCUAGCGAUCAGUAACUGGUGUGAGAGCACGACCAGUCACACGGGCACUGAGAC